UACAGAGGUCUCAAGCGUUGUUCGGAAUCACUGGGCGUAAAGGGUGCGUAGGCCGCACGGUAAGUCAGAGGUGAAAUCCCGGAGCUCAACUCCGGAAUGGCCUCCGAUACUGCCGUGCUCGAGGACUGGAGAGGAGUCUGGAAUUCACAGUGGAGCAGUGAAAUGCGUAGAUAUUGUGAGGAACACCCGUGGCGAAGGCGGCUCACUGGGCCGGUCCUGACGCUGAGGUGCGAAAGCGUGGGGAGCAAACAGG
rnacentral:rRNA from 1 species